GUUUUCUGGCUGGUUUGCACUGAUUGAUUGCCUCCCCCAUCUUUCCCCCCCCAGGGCGCCGAGGGCCGCGGUUGCUGCGUAACGCCGGGAGUACAGUCCCUCAGCGCUACGACGCGGUGCUACGCGGCGGGGAAAGGCCCAGCGCGGUCCUGUGGAACUUAAAUCGGACACGAUGGAGGAGGAGAACAGGCCGGCAUCAGGCUUUACGGACAACGGCGAAACUCUGCCAUCUGCCACAGCAGCGCUCGGGUUAUUUUUACAUAAUCCUAAACUCCCGUAUGUUAAUGCUUGUGGGUGUUUUUACAUAGGUGUCUAAUGGUGGGUGCGUCUUUCCGAGGAUGGCGCUGAACAAUUAAAUGGUUUCCAUCCAAGUGCUAAUUGCUUAGUAAUGAAAAAUUUAAUCAUGAGCUGAUUUAAUCUCGAAGUGGCUAAAGGAAAUCUGUCCACAGUGAUGAAGGUACCUUAAUAACUUGUUUUAUAGCUUUUCUGUUAAAAAUACACUAUCCUUAAGGUAUUAGACAUGUGAGAUUUAGUUUCCGAAUGCCAGCGUUUACAGCAUUACAGAAACAGGUAAACGAAACAUCGUUACGUUUAAAAUGGCUCAUUUAAGUUAAGCAUCAUGACAACUUUAUAUUUUCCAAAUUUUUCUAAUGUUCGGCUUUGUGCAUUUUCAGAAAAAAAGAUGUUUUUGGAUUAAAAAUAAUUACAGGCAGAGUAUCAAUAAAAACAAGUGCAAAUA